rnacentral:lncRNA from 1 species
UCAAAUUAUUUUUUGGUGGAAAACUUUAAUGGACAAAAUUUUUCUCCGAAAUUAUAUGUUUCGUCACUAAAAUUAUGUUGCUCAUGCAUUUAAAUACUAAAUGUAAUUUUUUUCAAAAAAGGUGAAUAGUUAGUGACGAAUUUCAUAGCGCGUCUAAUAAUUUCGUAGCUAAAUAUCAUAUUUUAUUGCAGUGACGCCUCGUGCGCAAGAGUUGAC